CCUACGGGAGGCAGCAGUGAGGAAUUUUCCGCAAUGGGCGAAAGCCUGACGGAGCAAUACCGCGUGAGGGAUGAAGGAUUUUGGUCUGUAAACCUCUUUUCUCAAGAAAGAAGUUCUGACGGUACUUGAGGAAUAAGCAUCGGCUAACUCCGUGCCAGCAGCCGCGGUAAUACGGGGGAUGCAAGCGUUAUCCGGAAUGAUUGGGCGUAAAGCGCCUGUAGGUUGUUUAUUAAGUCCGUUGUUAAAGCCUAGGGCUCAACCCUAGAAAAGCAAUGGAAACUAGUAGACUAGAGUAUGGCAGGGGUAGAGGGAAUUUCUAGUGUAGCGGUGAAAUGCGUAGAUAUUAGAAAGAACACCGGUGGCGAAAGCGCUCUACUGGACCAUUACUGACACUCAGAGGCGAAAGCUAGGGUAGCAAAAGGGAUUAGAUACCCCUGUAGUCCUAGCCGUAAACGAUGGAUACUAGAUGUUGUGCAUUAUGUACAGUAUCGUAGCUAACGCGUUAAGUAUCCGCCUGGGGAGUACGCUCGCAAGGGUGAAACUCAAAUGAAUUAACGG
rnacentral:rRNA from 1 species